UUUGAAACAGCCGUGUGAAUGUUGUGGAGAAGAAAUAUGUAAACAAAUUGUGAGUCGUGUUUGAGAAUCAAAUUAUUAUGCUAUUAUGUUUGACGAAACACUUGAUGCAUCACAUCAGUCACAAAUGACAACAAUAUUACGCUAUUUGAUGCCUGAUCGAUCAGUUCGAGAAGAUUUUGUUGGAUAUGUUGGUUUGCAUGAUCAAAAUCAUCAAACUAAUAGUAAAGCAUCUAUUUACAACCAACUUUUUCUUAACGGCCAAGUUAUUAGUCAAUCGGUUAUAAACAUGUUGUAAAAAAAGUUACACUCUCUUUAAAAUAAUGUGGUUGUACUGUUAUACUGUUUGGUAUCCAUGUUAUAAUCAUGCUUUAAAUUUAACUUUAUCCAAAAGUUCGAAAUUUAACUUUAAAUUUAACUUUAUCCAAAAGUUCGAAAGUACAAGCAAUUAGAAGUUGUUUGGGGCUAUUCCACGUUGUACAAAAAGUUUAAUAUAAAUUUCAAAGCUUAGAAAAUAAAAAACUAAAUGUAUCAUUCAAAAGUUAAAGAUGUCUAAUAAAUUGUUGAAAGUUUGGACUCCAGACGGUUCGGUAAAAGCAGCUGUGGUAUGCAGUAAUUUGGCUGAAUUGAAAACCAAAGCUGCCCAAAAGCUUGGUUUCGAUAUCGCUUUGUUCAAAAUGGAUGAUGGUACAGAUAUCGAUGAUGAUGAAAUUGUGCAAUAUUUAAAUCCCGGUGCAAUAGUCUAUGCUUUAAAUGCUGAUGAAGCUAUCAGAAGCUUGGCAACAACAUUAUCUAUAAUACCCGGCACACCAGACAAUACAUUCGAACCAUUGCAGACUUCUACACCAGAAACCAGCAUGACUAGCAUAACUUCAGCUGCAGAUGUGCAUCAAAUGGAAGACAUGAAAGAGGAACAGCCAAGCACGAGCAAGCAAGUUGUACGUAAACGACCAAGGGACGUGCCUGUUACUGUGAUUUGAAGUAUUAACGACGUUUCAGUUAUUGUGGCAUUAAAGAAGCAUUCAAAAGAAAAGUGGAUAGUAGAAGAGGGUAACAAAGCCGUAAUGACACGUGAAGCUCGAUUGACAAUGGUCAAGGCAGCAUGUAGUCAUUUCAUUGACUUAUUUGGAGAUUAUCCACCAACAGAAAAGAAAGUGCUGAUGGCAAAAAGCAUCAUAGAAGCUUUUCCUAACUAAAAAUCAAGUUUCGGCGAAGGAUAUAACAUUAUUACUCAUCAGAUGGGACAGGUUUUAUACAAAACUGGUUUAGGCAGAUUCAACGCCAACUGCCUGAGCAGCAAAGGAAAAUAUCGCCAAAGAUACAAACUAUGUAUGUCAUUGUUUUCUUAUAAUUACGUGUGCGAUUGCGUUAGUAAACAAAUUAGGCUUGAGUAAGUUAUAGAUACAUGUGCAGCUGUUAAUCUAUUAAGUAAAUCUAUAGCUAAAUAUGCAGCUCUUGAUCUAUACUAUCAGCCUGUUUUAUUGCAUUUAUUUUUAUGUACAGCAGUCAAUGAUAGUGUGGUUUAAGCGGCUGACCAAUUUAUAGAGGUGUUUGGCGAGGAUGCCGAAUUAAAAACGGUCAUGCUUCAGAAUUUGGUACCAUUAUCGGCCAACGUAGACAAAAUCUAUACGUUAAUGGCUGAAACGUGCAGUUAUCGGCAGAGUUGGAUAAAAGGGGGUGGAGGUUCUGCUGGAUCUACAAUGGCACAAAUCCUUCAGAAAUACCCUCGUUUUAUAGAUGUGCCCGGCUUCGUAAGUUUCUGUUUUCAAGAACAUUGAAAAGUUAAUAAUAUAGUUGUUAUAAUAUUCAGAGAUUGAAGAAGAUGUUUUUUCUUCACAUUUUAUUGAUGAACACAAUAAAACCAAAGUUCACAUUGUCAAAGAGUUUCAAGUUUUAAUGUGAGUAGUUUUGGUUUUUACACCACUGAAUGUUAAUGUGGAGGUCUUUUUUAAUAAUUUGUUUUUGUUUUAAAAUAAUUGUAAAAAAUAAGUAUAAAAGAAUAGAAAUGGAUUAUUUAUAAUAUUGUGAUCUGAUAAAUCAUGUGUGUAGCAUUUGGUCAACUUUACCUUUACUAGUUAAACAAAAUUCUUUAAUACCGUAACCUUUUGCAGGAAGAAAUAUCAAGAAUUGCUCUUGAGCCACGCCCAAAGAAAAAUACACAAAAGUUAUCACCAGGGCUGUGGAGUCCAAGCUGCGGAGUUGAGACAUUUUCAGCAGAGUCGGAGUCGCUAAACAAAAUUGCGACUCCGACUUCAAUAGUAAAACUUCUCAGUAUUGUACGUCCAUGUACAAAACAAUCAAUUAACCUUAUAUUCAUACUAAACCUCAAAGAACGUUUCAUAAGUUUGUCAAAAAAGAAAUUUUUAACUUAUCCCGUAAUAUUUUUUAAAGAAUUAGAAAAUUUUUUCUAAAAUAAUGCUUUGGAGUUGUAAUCGAAGUUGGAGUUGGAGUCGGAGUUGUGCUCAAAAAAUUUCAACAACUGGAGUCGGAGUUAGAGUUGCACUCAAAAAGUUUCAACAACUGGUUUCGGAGUCAUUACUUUUUUUUAACAACUCCACACCCCUGGUUAUGAGUAACGGUUUGACAUAAAUCUGAAUAUUAUUUGUUGUUGUUUAUUUGUCAAAAUUAAAUAAGAAUUUCUGUAAAACUUGAAGUUUUAAUUUAUUUUCAGCGGUUUACCUAUAACUUAAGUGGAUUGUUUUUUUUAUUAGAUUAUUAUUGCAAAGUAGUUUAUUUAGUCAAAAUUAUUUUUUACUAGGUUUGCAAUCUGCCUCUUUUGCCUUUGUCUGAUUCUACAUAUAAAAUUUUAGCUGAUUUAAAAUGUAGGUUUUCUGAAAUAUUAUAGCAACUUCUGCGAUAGUGUACUAAAAAAAAUAACAUGUAAUUUUAGAAUUUUAGUUUUGAGUUACUCAAGCAUAAUUUGAAUUUUAAAGUUGUUAUUUCAUUGUUUUGCUUUUUGGUUUUAUGAGCUAAAUAUGUUAAUUAAUUCUUUUGAUUCUUGUUUGAAGAGAUGCAAAAUGUUAUUCUCAAGGAGUAGAGAUGCAAAAUGUUAUUCUCAAGCUUGCAGAAAAAAAAGUUCUUUUAAAAGAAGUUAUAGAAAUUAAGUUUCAGGCUACUGGGGUGAAGUUGCUAGAAUCAGUGGACGAAGUGGUUACACUGGAUAAUAAACUAAAAGAUAAAACCGAGUAUACUAAUUAGCUUGAUAGUUUGAAAAAAAUUGGUGGCGGAAAGCCAAGAGAACAUGUUUUUUUUAUCAUGAAAAGGUUAUUUUCGAUCAGUUACAGUCCAAAUUAAAUCGAAAAGGAAAUGGGGAAAAGAUAAGCUUAGAAUAUCUAGUAAAUAUAUGAAGUGUUUUACGAGAUAUCGGCGACGUGGAAGAAGAUGUUGACGGCAAUGCAGAAAUAUAGUUUCUUAUGUAUAUAUUUGUGAAAUAAAAUUAAGUACAACAAGAUUUCAAAAGUAUGGCUGCUAGUCCAAGAGAAGAUCCAGCAGCAUACUUUGAAAGCAACCUUGCUCUCAAAGUACUUCGUUAUUGUGUUGGCUAAGACAAAUCCCUUGACCUAACGCAGAACUUUGAAAAUUUCACCGCAGAUGCAACGAGUCACAAUGCGAUGCUAUGUUUGCUGGAGAUGCUACCUACCAUGGAAAGCAUCGGACAUCAGCUAAAAAUGCCCGCCAAUAUUUCAUCGACGAGAUAAAAAUCAGUGAUAAUUUGGAAGCAUACUUGGAAUCUUGCCAGCAAGAGAACAAAAAGCUUGAAAGGUUUCAGCCGUACAUUUUAAAAAUGGGUGCUACUGAGGAAGCAUCCUAUUACAUUAUCUGUGAUGGUCGUGCCUUGUUAGUGAAGCCAUCGAAAGCUGCCAAUUCUCUUUCAGAUUUAUUUUCAACGUUUUUUGUUUUUAAUGUCAGAUAUCCAUCUCAGCUUAUGUCAUUUUAUAAUUUUCUUGAGGUAUAUAUGUUUGAAAAGAAAAGCAAACUCUCUGCCAAACCAA